rnacentral:rRNA from 1 species
AUUGAACGCUGGCGGCAUGCCUUACACAUGCAAGUCGAACGGCAGCACGGGAGCAAUCCUGGUGGCGAGUGGCGAACGGGUGAGUAAUAUGUCGGAACGUGCCCAGUCGUGGGGGAUAACGCAGCGAAAGCUGUGCUAAUACCGCAUACGAUCUAAGGAUGAAAGCGGGGGAUCGCAAGACCUCGCGCGAUUGGAGCGGCCGAUAUCAGAUUAGCUAGUUGGUGAGGUAAAGGCCCACCAAGGCGACGAUCUGUAGCUGGUCUGAGAGGACGACCGGCCACACUGGAACGGAGACACGGUCCAGACGCCUACGGGAGGCAGCAGUGGGGAAUUUUGGACCAUGGGCGCAAGCCUGAGCCAGCAAUGCAGCGUGCAGGAUGAAGGCCUUCGGGUUGUAAACUGCUUUUGUACGGAACGAAACGGCCCUUUCUAAUACAGGGGGCUAAUGACGGUACCGUAAGAAUAAGCACCGGCUAACUACGUGCCAGCAGCCGCCGUAACAC